rnacentral:rRNA from 1 species
GUUGACCUCGGAUCAGGUAGGAAUACCCGCUGAACUUAAGCAUAUCAAUAAGCGGAGGAAAAGAAACCAACAGGGAUUGCCUCAGUAACGGCGAGUGAAGCGGCAACAGCUCAAAUUUGAAAUCUGGCCCUAGGCCCGAGUUGUAAUUUGCAGAGGAUGCUUUUGGUGCGGUGCCUUCCAAGUUCCCUAGAACGGGACGCCAGAGAGGGUGAGAGCCCCGUACAGUUGGACACCAAGCCUUUGUAAAGCUCCUUCGACGAGUCGAGUAGUUUGGGAAUGCUGCUCAAAAUGGGAGGUAUAUUUCUUCUAAAGCUAAAUACCGGCCAGAGACCGAUAGCGCACAAGUAGAGUGAUCGAAAGAUGAAAAGCACUUUGAAAAGAGGGUUAAACAGCACGUGAAAUUGUUAAAAGGGAAGCGCUUGUGACCAGACUUGCGUCCGGUGAAUCACCCAGCUCUCGCGGCUGGGGCACUUCGCCGGCUCAGGCCAGCAUCAGCUCGCUGUCGGGGACAAAAGCUUCAGGAACGUAGCUCUCUUCGGGGAGUGUUAUAGCCUGUUGCAUAAUACCCUUCGGCGGGCUGAGGUACGCGCUCCGCAAGGAUGCUGGCAUAAUGGUCAUCAGCGAC